AACGGUCUAUACCUGCGGUACCUGCGGAGGGAUCAUUAUCAAUUUACAGCGGACUUCGGUCCUGUCUGCACCCUUGUCUUUUGCGUACUAUAUGUUUCCUCGGUGGGCUUGCCUGCCGAUAGGACACUUAUAAACUCUUUCGUAAUUGCAAUCAGCGUCAGAAAACUAUAAUAGUUACAACUUUUAGCAAUGGAUCUCU
rnacentral:misc_RNA from 1 species